rnacentral:tRNA from 1 species
GCGCGCAUAGCUCAGUUGGUUCAGAGCACACGACUGAUAAUCGUGAGGUCGAAGGUUCAAGUCCUUCUGCACGCACCA